UACGUAGGCAGCAAGCGUUGUUCGGAGUUACUGGGCGUAAAGGGUGUGUAGGCGGUUGGAUAAGUGUGGUGUGAAAUCUCCCGGCUUAACUGGGAGGGUGCGCUACAAACUGUCUGACUAGAGUAUGGGAUGGGAGAGUGGAAUUCCUGGUGUAGCGGUGAAAUGCGUAGAUAUCAGGAGGAACACCCGUGGCGAAAGCGGCUCUCUGGGACGGUACUGACGCUGAGACGCGAAAGCGUGGGGAGCAAACAGG
rnacentral:rRNA from 1 species